AUUGAACGCUGGCGGCAGGCCUAACACAUGCAAGUCGAGCGGAUGAAGGGAGCUUGCUCCUGGCUUCAGCGGCGGACGGGUGAGUAAUGCCUAGGAAUCUGCCUGGUAGAGGGGGAUAACGUCCGGAAACGGGAGCUAAUACCGCAUACGUCCUGAGGGAGAAAGUGGGGGAUCUUCGGACCUCACGCUAUCAGAUGAGCCUAGGUCGGAUUAGCUAGUUGGUGGGGUAAAGGCCUACCAAGGCGACGAUCCGUAACUGGUCUGAGAGGAUGAUCAGUCACACUGGAACUGAGACACGGUCCAGACUCCUACGGGAGGCAGCAGUGGGGAAUAUUGGACAAUGGGCGAAAGCCUGAUCCAGCCAUGCCGCGUGUGUGAAGAAGGUCUUCGGAUUGUAAAGCACUGUAAGUUGGGAGGAAGGGCAGUAUGUUAAUAUCUUGCUGUCUUGACGUUACCAACAGAAUAAGCACCGGCUAACUUCGUG
rnacentral:rRNA from 1 species